rnacentral:lncRNA from 1 species
AGGAACAAGAGAAGGCCAUUGAAGAAGCUGUUGAGCACCUAAAAAUACUUGAUAAUGAACUCCAGGGGAAGAAGUUCUUUGGUGGAGAGACUAUUGGACUGGCUGAUAUUGCUGCUAAUUUUAUAGGUCUUUGGCUCGGAAUUUAUCAAGAGAUGUUGGGGAUACAAGUGCUGACAAGUGAGAAGCUUCCCAGAUUAAGUGAAUGGGCUAAUGAAUACCUUAACUCCACCAUUAUCAAGCAAAGCUUGCCUCCUAGAGAUGAACUAUCCGCACGGCUACGCUCUUAUUUCAAACCAACAAAAUGAUAUUACUACACUGAUAGUGUUGUGUACCAUAUGCUGCACAAAGAUCAUGGAAAGUUCUAUGGCAAACCAUCUAAUCACAAACUAUCCUUUGUUGUUUUUUUAAUGAUGUCUAAUGUUAAUUGGGCUUGUUUGGGAAGUUCACUUUUUGUUUUUGUUUGAUCAGUUGAGGGAGAACUGAUGUAUGUACUAUGUAGUAGUCUGUGUUCAACAAUGUGUUGAACUUGUUCCAUUUUCAUACUUCCUAAUAAAAUCAUUUUCCUUUAGUAGUUUUUGACUUGAACCAAUAGUUUGUCAACAUAUUCCAAUUCAAAGUUUCCAUUAGCUUGAACAUAUUCAAAUUGAACUUGACUUUAAAAUGGACUAAUUAAAUAAGCAAAGAUUUAAGAGUUUUUUUCCCAUGGGAAAUCAGUCCUUUAAAGCACCACAUAAGUUUCACCAGGCUUCUGAUUGUUCAUGCAUCAGCAUUCAUUAUAAGCAAACCACAAAAUGGUCGCUUCUGCUGCUGAUUCAAACCCAUUCCUGAUAGCAAUAAGUCCAGUAGAGUGCAAUUACUAAAUUGACUCUCGUCUUGCGGCGUUGGAUGGUUAUACUUUCAAUUCAAGAAUAGAUCUUAAACCAUCAAUAAUUUGAAAGACCGAAGGUUUUGGCCCGAGUGGUAUGACCCAACCUAUCUUAACCAUGAGGUUGAGGAUUCAAUUCUUUCAGGACCGUAGUGCUGCCGACAACCAUAUCCUAGUACUAUAUUUUGUGCGUGGAAAUAUGGAAUAAAACAUAUACUAAUCAGUUUUAAGUAAAAUAUCAGUUAUUUUAUAUACGAAUGAGUCAUACUAUAAAAUAGCUGAUAUAAAAUAUCAUUUUCGGUUUUUUACCAAUGAGCACCCCUACAUUAUGACCACCAUAUAAGUCUCCUUUUUUUUUCUUUUUGAAAGCCACAAAACACAACAUAUUUCAUAAUUAAGAAGAAGGAAUAAAUAAACUCACACACAAGUCUCAUAUAAAAGAGGAAACAAACUUCUCAUAACAAGAACCAAUCAAAUCUCACUGAAGGAGAAAGAAAUAAAUUCACAAGCAAGCCUCACAUAAAGUGGAAACAACCAUAAUGGAAGACAUAAACUUACUUGAGUGAGAAUUGAACUUUGGAAGACAUAAACUUACUUAAGGUGAGAAUCGAACUUAAGACCUAAUGGUCUCAGUAUCUCAGUUUUAACCACUAGAUUAACACCUCAUCGGCCACCAUAUAGAUCACCUAGAAUAGCUAAUAUAAAUAGAUUAACAGUUUAGUGCGUAGGAAACUGAUAUUUCAACAACAGAAAAUGAUAUUAUCAUAACAAAAUCGUCGUUAUAAAUUCUAUAGCAUCGGUUUUGACUGUCAUUAUACCUCUAUAGCGACACAUUUGCUGUAAAAAAAUCAAAAAAUAUUGUGGAAAUAUAUGUUUUCUAAUGCGAAAGGUGGUUUAGAAUUUAAGAUCAUUCAACUAUUUAGUUCUCUAGUCAAAAAUCACUAAUUCAAUUUGAUAGAAAAAGACAAAGUCGAAAGAACUAGAAGUAAAGAUGAUGACCUACCUACCUAUAAGAUUAAUAUCUUGUCUAUCUAACAAUAAAGUCAUCAAAAGCUUCAUGUCAAAUAUCUCCUUACGUUCCGCCAACCUUUCCUCGCAUGUUCAUGUGUAAGUUUUUCUAUUCGGCCCUACCCCCAAAGUUGAAGAGAUAAUGGGGAUACAAGUGCAUAUUUCAAGAAAUUAAAUAUAGCAAGUGUAAGUGUGAAACAUGUUACAAUGUAAUGAAAGAGAAGACAAUAUUAAAUCUAUGUUAGGUGGGUAUGGACCUGGUCAGUUUUUCCAUUUGCCUAAAAUGAAUCAUCUAGAACCAACCAUUUACUUUUGACUUGUAGGAGUCAAUGGAAAACAGUUAGGCAGAAUUGUACUCGUUGGCUAAUUCGAAAUUUGUAUAAGAAAGAACUCAAAGAAGAUCAAAAUUACAGAGCCUCGUAGAUAACUAAUUAGAUACAAAGUUUCUAUUUGUUUAAGGAACCACAAGGGGUAACAAUGGCCAAUCAAACAGUUAAGUUGCUGGGUGCUUGGGGAAGUCCAUAUAGCCGAAGAGUAGAAAUUGCUCUGAAAUUAAAGGGAGUAAAAUAUGAAUUUGUUACACAAGAUCUGUCCAACAAGAGCCCUCUGCUGCUUAAAAACAACCCUGUUCAUAAGAAGGUCCCUGUGCUCUUGCACAAUGGAAGACCAAUUGCUGAGUCUCUUGUCAUUGUUGAGUACAUUGACGAGACCUGGAAAUCUGGCACACCCAUUUUGCCUACAGAUUCUUAUGGAAAAUCCAUGGCACGUUUCUGGGCAAAAUUCAUGGAUGAUAAGGUAUAAUACUAUUUCAUGCAUGAUUUAUUCUCCAAAGUUUAUUAAUUGUUUCUUGGAAAUUAAACUAAUUCCUUGUUUAAUUUGGGUUUAGUGCUUGCCCGCGAUAUAUAAUAUUACGCGAUGCCAAGGCGAGGAGCAAGAGAAGGCCAUUGAAGAUGCUAUUGAGCUGCUGAAAAUACUUGAAAAAGAACUGGAAGGGAAAAAGUUUUUUGGUGGUGAAAGUAUUGGACUGGUUGAUAUUGCUGCUAAUGUUUUAGGCCUUUGGCUUGGAAUUUAUCAAGAGAUAAUGGGAAUACAAGUGCUGACCAGAGAGAAGCUUCCCAGAUUAAGUGAAUGGGCUGAUGAAUACCUUAACUCCACCAUUAUCAAGCAAAGUUUGCCUCCUAGAGCUGAAUUAUCUGCUCGCCUGCGAUCUUUUUUCAAACCAACCAAAUGAUUACUACAUGCCAGAGUCUUGUGUCUCUUUUCUGAAGUUUUUACUUUUAUUUGUCUGAUCAGU